rnacentral:misc_RNA from 1 species
UUUUUUAUCAAACAUUUUUCUAGCGAUCAGUCAUUUUGCGAAAACAUUUUUUAUCAACGAGAUCGAAUUACAGCUGACAUUAGCUUCUUCAAACAAUGUUAGACUAUGUCGACAUGCUCUUCAAAUGUAGGGAACAAUUUCUUAUGUACUGGUAUUAAUGUACGAGUAGUGAUUUUUUUUUUCUACCAGCCAUGCACCAGACCAUAGCCAUGUACCAGAUUUUGGUAAGGUUCUUACGCCUAUAAUAGCCGUCCUCGAUAAAAUUGACUAUCCAACACAA